UAAACUGUGCCGAAAUGUGCCGAAGCAAAAAUAAUAAUAUUUUUGGGGGCACUGGCUUUUAUGUAUGCAUGGCAUCACGGAAAAAUCAUUUGUUUAUGUUUACUAAAAAAACACGAAAUUAAUGAGGCAAGUAAAAUUUAUUUUGGAUAUAUUUUUAAGUCUUUUAUGCCAAAUUAUAUCAUUAUAAAAUAAGAAGAGUGCUACCAUUAUCUCCACGUGAUAUCACAGUCAGCCGGGUGGCGUAUACUAAUUCGUUGUGGAGAACAGCAGCUCGACAAAAUAGAAAUUUUGGAACUCCUUAAAAUGGAAACUUUCUCCACUAAUGCCAAUUCCGCCGCCGCGAUUCAACAGCUGGACUGGCAAACAGAUCCGGCGUUCCCAUUAAAUAAGGACAACAUGUUUAGUGGUUCGCCAACUAUUUCACCAGUACCACCGCCACUAUUAUCUACGGGCCAACUGGGACGGCGACCGGCACGGAAUGUUUCAUGGAUGAAAGAUUUACACCUAGAGUCGAAUAAAAAGGAACGUCGGACUGGCGGCAUGUCGAAACGUCUCCCCAUAUGCAUACGUCUCUGAAUCAUUCACCAUACUUCCCAUACAAGCGCAAUUCUACACUAGCGUGGUGAUCAUAUAUGGCCUAUUACCCCCGAUAUGUUUUCCCACCAACAUCUGUUUUCCACCGACUAACGGGAAUCUCAAUUACCGACUCCACCAGCAGCAACCACGUCUGGAAGUGUUGACUCAAUCGGUCCAGAAAUAACAUCUCUAACAACAACUGUCUCAUGAGAUCCCAGAAUCGCUCAGAAGCAGUGGAGGAACCGGAGAGGAUUAUAAUACAAUCCGGAAUUAAAUUAGAAAUUAAAAACAAAACUACUGAUUAUUCCCCCUAGUGGUAA